UACGUGGGGUGCGAGCGUUAAUCGGAAUUACUGGGCGUAAAGCGUGCGCAGGCGGUUUUGCAAGCCGGAUGUGAAAUCCCCGGGCUCAACCUGGGAAUGGCAUUCGGGACUGCAAGGCUGGAGUGCGGCAGAGGAGACUGGAAUUCCUGGUGUAGCAGUGAAAUGCGUAGAUAUCAGGAGGAAUACCGAUGGCGAAGGCAGGUCUCUGGGCUGACACUGACGCUCAUGCACGAAAGCGUGGGGAGCAAACAGG
rnacentral:rRNA from 1 species